AUUUUUAUAUUUCAGUGCUGAAAGAGAGAGAACAAAGAGAGCAGAGUUAUCAUAGACUGAACAGCCAUCUGAGGCCAGAACAUAAAGGGGCAAACCAAUCAGUCAACGCCCCAGAGACUGACGGAACUGAACACCAAUGAGGACCUGAGCAACGAGCCAUCAGAGGGAGGAUCUGAGCUGCACCAAUCAAAACAUCAAGAGAGACUAUAAAAACUGCCCUGGGGCUCAGCUCCCGGGGGUCUUCCUGAGGAACUUGAGUCAGAGGAAAUGCCCUCCACUUCGCAAUGUUUGUUUUUUUCUGGGUUGACGAGUGGGACUUGGGCUUACCUGGUCUCCGUUCCAGGUUUUCUUUUUAAUAAACGAGCAGACUUUUACUCCA